UUGCCUGUUUACAGCAUAAACAUAUGAUAGUUUAUUUAAGAUUUAUCUUAUAUCCAAUUACUUUCCAGUACAAAUUAGGCUUUCAUUAGAUCUGUAAAAUUUGUAGCCCUUCUUUACUUCAGAACAGUUUGUACAGCCUGGAUGAAGCCUCCUAGGACCAGAUUUUGGGCAAGUCAUGUAGCCAACUUUGAGGCAAACUCGUGGGCAAAUUUUCCUUUGGGCUUCAGCAUAUUGCACAUUGCUUCCCAAGAAAAACAAUCCUGUCAAA
rnacentral:lncRNA from 1 species